UACGUAGGGCGCAAGCGUUGUCCGGAAUUAUUGGGCGUAAAGAGCUCGUAGGUGGCUUGUCACGUCGGGUGUGAAAGCUUGGGGCUUAACUCCAGGUCUGCAUUCGAUACGGGCUGGCUAGAGGUAGGUAGGGGAGAACGGAAUUCCUGGUGUAGCGGUGAAAUGCGCAGAUAUCAGGAGGAACACCGGUGGCGAAGGCGGUUCUCUGGGCAUUACCUGACGCUGAGGAGCGAAAGUGUGGGGAGCGAACAGG
rnacentral:rRNA from 1 species